rnacentral:lncRNA from 1 species
CGGUCGUUUUUCGGAAAAAGCCUACACGUACCCGGAAUUCUAAAAACAUACCGCUUUUUCUUACAACUCUAAGUAUCAAAUCGCUGUAUUUUUUUAAGUUAUAUGCACCUGACUCACUUACCGUUCCAUUCUCCACCGUCACCCAGCCGGUGGAGCGACGUGAAUCCCUUCCACAUCCCGUCGCCCCAGUUGUUUCCCUAAUUCCAUACCGUGCGCAACAACACACAUUGACGCGUCCCAAACUCUCCUAUCUCUACUACUACCCGUAUAAGCAUGAGAAAGACGCGAAAAAUCCACCUAAACAUCCAACUUGCGGUGUUUGUUUACAUUUGGCACCUCUGCGUGAAUAACGCAUUACAUUAACUCUCGCUGCUUCCGUCGGCUGAGGAAUUUCCAAAAGCUUCGAACUCGUUCUGCAAUGUGACUUGCUAUCAAUAUCUCGUUACCAGGAACCGACGUAACCUGACAUAGUUUUAAGCAACAUCUUGCCAUUCUGGACGAUUAUGUAGCAACCGAGAUAGGGAGUUGCCCGCCAAUCAUCGGCUUUUGCGAAACUUAGCAGCGCUUUCUUUAAGAGGUCAGUAAGGAACUACUGCAGAGUAGAGCGUAAUUACCUUGCAAAACGGCGUACUGCAAAGUAGUAUGUUAUGCUAGAUGAGAAAGAGACAGGGCUGGGAAUAUAUGUCUGGCUAGUGGGUAGAAGCGCUAGGGGAGAGGACAGGGGGCAGAGGCAGAGGACAGAGGCACAAAAGGUAGAAAGGAUGGGUAGAAAAAGGAAAGUGUCAGGAGCAUAGUAUGUUAGAUCUGAUAUUUAAGGCAAUCCACGAUAACUCAAAACAAUCCUAUUCAGCCUUCUCGGUGGCUUUUGAUUGAUUGAUCGACAGAGUAGCAUGAUCGACAGUAGCGUAAUUUUUCGUAAACAUUUCUUUUCAUUUGUCUAUUUGACUAGUUUAGUUAACUUUUCUACGAGUGUCAUGAAUUGAAAUGCUAAUAACUUUCUCUAACAUUAAGCGAAUAAUCA